rnacentral:rRNA from 1 species
UACGAGAGGCCCAACCGUUAUUCGGAUUUACUGGGCUUAAAGAGUUUGUAGGCGGUUCGGUAAGUGAGAUGUGAAAGCCCUCGGCUCAACCGAGGAAUUGCGUUUCAAACUGCCGGGCUCGAGGGAGAUAGAGGUGAGCGGAACUGAUGGUGGAGCGGUGAAAUGCGUUGAUAUCAUCAGGAACACCAGAGGCGAAGGCGGCUCACUGGGUCUCUUCUGACGCUGAGAAACGAAAGCUAGGGGAGCAAACGGG